rnacentral:misc_RNA from 1 species
GUGAGUCAUCGAAUCUUUGAACGCACAUUGCGCCCGCCAGCAUUCUGGCGGGCAUGCCUGUUCGAGCGUCAUUACAACACUCGACUUCCCGGGCCCAGCCCGUGGAAGUCGGCAUUGGGGAUCGGCAGCACACCGCCGGCCCUGAAAUGGAGUGGCGGCCCGUCCGCGGCGACCUCUGCGUAGUAAUCCAACUCGCACCGGAACCCCGACGUGGCCACGCCGUAAAACACCCAACUUCUGAACGUUGACCUCGAAUCAGGUAGGACUACCCGCUGAACUUAAGCAUAUCAAUAAGCGGAGGA